UACGUAGGGGGCAAGCGUUGUCCGGAAUCAUUGGGCGUAAAGCGCGUGUAGGCGGCCCGGUAAGUCCGCUGUGAAAGUCGGGGGGCUCAACCCUCGAAUGCCGGUGGAUACUGUCGGGCUAGAGUGCGGAAGAGGCGAGUGGAAUUCCUGGUGUAGCGGUGAAAUGCGCAGAUAUCAGGAGGAACACCAAUUGCGAAGGCAGCUCGCUGGGACGUUACUGACGCUGAGACGCGAAAGCGUGGGGAGCAAACAGG
rnacentral:rRNA from 1 species